CAAGACUAAAACCAGUUUAACAACGCAUCGUUAUUCGAUUCAAUUACUUUGUGUUUUGUACAUAAUGUAUACAAUGUGCAUGUAUAAUGCAUUAAUGUGUUAUUAUGAUUUAUAUGUAUGUACCUGUAUAAUAUGACGUCAAUUGUGUGGUGUGUAGUGUGUACUUACAUUACAGUUAUGUUAUAGGAUUUAUUUGAUAAAAACCAAUUGAUUACAGGUAUCGAGGAACCACCCCUCCCUCCAAAA